GUCCCCUUUGUCUAAUGGUUAUGACGUCAGACUUCUAUAUCUUUAUUGGGUAUCUGGAGGUUGCGGGUUCGAGUCCCGCAGGGGAUA
rfam:Fistulina hepatica ATCC 64428 unplaced genomic scaffold FISHEscaffold_4, whole genome shotgun sequence.